AUUGAACGCUGGCGGAAUGCUUUACACAUGCAAGUCGAACGGCAGCACGGGAGCUUGCUCCUGGUGGCGAGUGGCGAACGGGUGAGUAAUGCGUCGGAACGUACCGAGUAAUGGGGGAUAACGCAGCGAAAGCUGUGCUAAUACCGCAUACGCCCUGAGGGGGAAAGUGGGGGAUCGCAAGACCUCACGUUAUUCGAGCGGCCGACGUCUGAUUAGCUAGUUGGUGGGGUAAUGGCCUACUAAGGCGACGAUCAGUAGCGGGUCUGAGAGGAUGAUCCGCCACACUGGAACUGAGACACGGUCCAGACUCCUACGGGAGGCAGCAGUGGGGAAUUUUGGACAAUGGGGGCAACCCUGAUCCAGCCAUUCCGCGUGAGUGAAGAAGGCCUUCGGGUUGUAAAGCUCUUUCAGCUGGAAUGAAACGGUACGCUCUAACAUAGCGUGCUAAUGACGGUACCGGCAGAAGAAGCACCGGCUAACUACGUGCCAGCAGCCGCGGUAAUACGUAGGGUGCGAGCGUUAAUCGGAAUUACUGGGCGUAAAGCGUGCGCAGGCGGAUUGUUAAGCAAGAUGUGAAAUCCCCGGGCUUAACCUGGGAAUGGCAUUUUGAACUGGCAGUCUAGAGUGCGUCAGAGGGGGGUGGAAUUCCACGUGUAGCAGUGAAAUGCGUAGAGAUGUGGAGGAACACCAAUGGCGAAGGCAGCCCCCUAGGAUGACACUGACGCUCAUGUACGAAAGCGUGGGUAGCAAACAGGAUUAGAUACCCUGGUAGUCCACGCCCUAAACGAUGUCAACUGGUUGUUGGG
rnacentral:rRNA from 1 species